rnacentral:tRNA from 1 species
GGAGAGAUGUCCGAGCCCGGUUUAAGGAGCACGCCUGGAAAGUGUGUAGGCGCUAAAACGCCUCGGGGGUUCGAAUCCCCCUCUCUCCGCCA